CUGACCCAGCCGGGACAUGGACAGGAUUGACAGAUAGACAGAUUUCUCCAUUCCGUGGGUGCAUGGCCAUUCUUAGUUGGUGGAGUGAUUUGUCUGGUAAAUUCUGGUAAUGAACGAGACUCUGGCGUGCUAACUAGCUACCCCAAGCAAGCAGCCCAUGUCCCCCAACUUCUUAGAGAGGCAAGUGGUGUUCAGCCACCCGAGAUAGAGCAAUAACAAGUCUAUGAUGCCCUUAGAUGUCCAGG
rnacentral:ncRNA from 1 species